GACGUAGGAGGCGAGCGUUGUCCGGAUUCAUUGGGCGUAAAGAGCUCGUAGGCGGCUUGUCGCGUCGUCCGUGAAAACCUGCAGCUCAACUGCAGGCUUGCGGUCGAUACGGGCAGGCUCGAGUUCGGUAGGGGAGACUGGAAUUCCUGGUGUAGCGGUGAAAUGCGCAGAUAUCAGGAGGAACACCGGUGGCGAAGGCGGAUCUCUGGGCCGAUACUGACGCUGAGGAGCGAAAGCGUGGGGAGCGAACAGG
rnacentral:rRNA from 1 species